AGUGAGAAGCAGAAGGGUGUCUCACAAAGCGGUGGGAAAAAGUGAGAUAAGAGAGAAGCUGCAUUCCUGGCAUAGUGCCAGAUGUGCUGUGUUAGGAGCACCCCUUUGAAGAACUGAUAAGAACUCUAG